UUCUCAGAAAGGCGCCAUUUUUGCGAAAAUCGCAAAUAAGCAGAAGUUAGAAAAUCCUCUAAGCCCUUUGACUUCGUGGUACUUAGGAUUAAAAAGUUUCCAUAGUUAUAUGAUAUACAGUGGCAUCUUUUGUGGCAAAUAUUCUGAGAAUGUCUAGGCAACAAUUAGCGGAAGCUCUUCAUCUCCUUCACAAAUUUCAAGGCCAGGAUGAUAGCAACCAAGCAAAGACUGUUUUUGAAGGCCGCAUUCUUAUAUUGAAAAUAUUGGAUGGAUGUUUAUCUGAUAAAAAGACAAUAUCUGAGUCUCUGACCAGUAGUGGAGAAAACAGCGAGUGCCACACGGUGCUACAAUGGUGCCACCACCGCGUGGUGCAGAACAAGGAGUUCUUCAUCCCUCCCACCCACAUGUCUGGAGACGAGACGCCCACGCUUGGACACACUCGAAUCACCCGCUCUCCUGAAGAGGAGUUGCUCUCAUUUGCUUUCACUCGCUGGUUUCUGCUGAAGAUAAUAUGGCUGCAGAGUAAGACUGACUGCUCUGGACUUCAUGACACCUGUCUAAAGAUCACAGUGGAGCUCCUCCAGAUCAUUAAGUGGAGGGACCUGUACUGCUUCUCCCAGCUCCUGACAGAGCUCAUCCACACAAUAGCUGAGCUGGUCCAGGUCAAUGAGAGUCUUUUCACUGAAGAGUCCGGGAAGACAUUACAGAGGUUUCAGGUGGACGGAGACGUGGUCAAGAAGAGUCUAAGGGACCCAGACAAGGCUGGAACUGAAAGCGAAACAGACAUUGUCACUGUACCAAGUCUAGAGAUACUGACUAUAGAGGACUGUGAAUGUCUACAGCUCAAUUUGGUGAGAGCACUGUUGGCCCUGUCAGAGGACUUGUACCUGGUGGGGAAUCCUCUUCAUGACAUCAUCUGGGGCUCCAUGUGCUGCCACCUGGAGUUUUAUGAUCUAGAGAUGAAAAUUGAGUCCCUGAGGGUGAUAGAGAAGUUACUGCUGGUGGAGGGACUUCCCCAAGUCCAGGUCCAGGACUACUUCAUCGCUUGUCUCAGUGCCCUGGUGGAACUUCUCUGUGACGGAUGUAAGGGAGCAGACCUCAGUGUCCAACAGGAGCUAGAGGAGAGAACCGCCCAGGUGGUGCUCAGUGUCUGUCUGGCCAACCGUAAACCCCUGGCUGCUAUUCAUCUCUCUGAGUUCCAGCACCAAAACAUCCUGAAGAAGAUGUGUAACGUCAUAGAGCAGCACGGCUUCUCUAACCUGGUCACUGGUGCCAUGAAAAUGUCCAUCUCGGAGCUUCUGAGUCAUUGCCUGGAAGCUCUUUCUUUUACCAGUCCUCAGGAAGGGGAGGCUAAACAUAUAAAGGACCUUGUGUUUUCUGUAUUGUUGGCUGCAGUUGGGAAGAACAUAGAGUCUUCGCACCUGGUGAGACCUCUGGUGAUUUUGCUGAUGUCAGACUUCAGGCAGACGUACAGUGGACUCCCAGACACACAGGGGUCUAUACCAACAGACAAACUAGACACAGUGGCCGCUUCACAAUUCAAACGCAAAAGGAAGGCUGAUGAGCCUCAAAUGAAGAAGAAAUCGAGUCUUCCCCACAGAUACCUGAGGCUGAGGUCAAAGAUAAAGACUUUGAUAAGUGGCCUACAGGAUCCCAAACAGGAUCAGCAUUCAGAGGUUCUGGAUGGGAUACACACAGCUUUACAAGCAGUAUCUGUGGCUGUUAUGUCAAGUUUAGAGUCCUCGUCCAACAAGAAAUUUCUUCCAGAAAACAUGAGUACUGUGUUGUCAUGGUUACCUCCUGAACUUUUGGGUAGUGUCCUUGAGAGCUGGAAACUGACUUUGCAGUUUAAUCACCACUGGAAGCCAGACACAUUUAACAGGAACAUGUUGUCCAUCAUUAGAGCUAUUGUAGCACUAGUGGACACACAAGAAUGGACUGAAUCAGAAGACACGAUGUGCUGGAUCUUGUCAUUGCCAUGGUUACAGAAUGACCCCGCCUGGAUUGAUCUGAAACCCCAAGACUUCAAGAUGGUCAAUAAGAUAUGUCUUGAAAUAUCUGAAAAAUUAGACAUGGAGGUUAAGUGCGAGUGUCUGCGAGGACUGUCCCUUCUCCCCAAGGACGUGUCCCCCCAGUGGAGAGUGCACGUCUUUCGACAGGCUUGUACUGACUCUGAUAACGAGUUGAAGAUUGCUGCUGUUCGCUGCCUCCCCUUGUUGCUGGUUCACCUCGGACCGAACGCCAACCACCUGGUUCAUGAUCUGCUGAUCCCAAUGGUUAAUACUACAGACUCUCUGAUUAAGGAAUCCUUGGUGUCUAUCUCAGGAAUACUGGCCUGUGUGAUCUGUAGAAAGGCUGUGCUCAGAAAGGAGACCAACAGGCAUGGGUUAGUGGAUCACCAGCACAAGAUACAGUGUCUCAGUUGUGACAAUCUGUUGGAUAAAAGUGAAAGUGGUACAUCUAAGGAGAGACCCAAACUUGUAGAUCCAAAUAUGUUUUUACCUUUUGUGGGAAUUAUUACCAACAGUAAUUCUCAAGUCAAACUCAGGUUGAUAAGCUGUAGUCUGGAGCGUAUCUUUGGACACAUUGGUGUACGAAGCAACAACACUGCCACCAUUACCAUGCUAAAGAUCUGUCUAAACCUAAUCCAGGACUCAGACUUCAAUGUCCGUGAACUGUUCAGUAGGGUGAUUGGUUCGAUGGUGGGGGAGGGAAGCAGUGAUUCCAAUCAACUAAUUGUCCGUACUCUGAAAGAGACCCUGGAGUCAGCAAGGUUACAGGGAAAUGUUCGGCUUCAACAGACUGUGAUCUUGACCAUCGCACAGAUCGGCAGAGUGGCAGAGGAUGAACUCCUGUUGGUGGUCAUCAUCAGUCUGCUGGAAAACAUGUUCUCCAAGGGACAGGUCAUAGCAGCUAUUGCUUAUCAACAGCUGAAUUCAGUGGCUAGGUACAAGAAAACAAAAACACAGAACUUGUUUCUCAACUCCAGGCAGGAAAUCUGUAAGUUUUUGGUGACAGCGAUGUUGGACUCCCAGAAAAGUGGAGGUGGACGAUCAGCGGAUGAGAUCCUGAGGGAUGUGGCUGAUGUACUGGACUUCAGGGACUGCAAGGCCUUCCUUAAAGCGGCCGGGAAGUGUAUGAUCCCCCAGCUGGUCAGCACUGCAUCCACAGAAGCCUCCUCUCUCAUUAAAAUGAUUGCCACUGUACUGGAUCUACCGAGCCGUAUGAAGCUGCUCUUGGAAUACAUCAAGCAUGUCUUUGCCUACCUUGUCUGUUUCUGCCAGAGAAGUGAAAUGGAGAGAGCCAUUAUCUUUCUUCAGAAUGAAACAGACCUGGAACUGGCUGAGCUCCUGAGGAUGAAUUUCCAGGUGGUUCAUCAAGAGCUUCUGUUGUAUCUCAGUACCCACUACAGCCAGGUGUUUAACGGACUUCGGCACCUGUCGACCUACGACCACAAUUACUCAGGUCCCAAGGACAUAAAGACGUCGGAACAAAUGGCCGAUUACCUCCAGCCGCGACUGUUGGGGGUGAUAGCGUUCUUCGACUCGCAGCUUCUGAAUGCCAGGAUACCCCUGUCAGACAAAAGGCUGACCAUGGAGAGUUUGACGGCCAUCAUUAAACUGAUGGGAAAGAAACACAUAGGAACAAUACGACACAAAGUGGUCGGAACUCUGAGGAUUGGACUUCAGUUUACGGACCGGGAAUUUAUUGAGAUCAACUGUCGUGCCUGGAACUGUUUUGUCAAGAGCCUGGAGUUGUCUGUCCUUGGCCAGAUGAUGUCUCAGAUUAUUGCCACCAUUCUCCCUCUCCUGGAAUACCUUCCCAAACAAGUCGCGGAGAUCAUCAACUUUAUCAUCGUAGACAGCAGAGCUGCCUUGAAGGAUUGGUUCCAUGAGAUUUACUUUCUGCCAGACAUUCCUGAAUUAAAGGAUGCUAAUACAGUCCUCAAGAAGUACACUCAGGAAGGCCCAUCCAGCCAGUCAGAUUUUGGGACCAAACUGAAGCACACAAUCAAAGGAGUGCAGCAUGAGAGUCUAGACAUCAGAAUACACGCUCUGUCUCAGCUAAGGAGCUUACUUCAGCAGGAAAAGGAUGUAUUGUAUGACCAUAUCAUAGGGAACGAGACAGCGGAUCCGAUCAUCUCCCAGCUUGUGUCUGUGUUGCUGAAGAGUUGCAGGGAUUCCAACCAGAGAGCCCAGGGUCUGAUUGCUGAGUGUAUUGGAGAGCUCGGGGCAGUGGACCCUGGCAGACUUGAGUUGUUGACCAAUAACCCUAAAGAAGAGCGGGCUAAAUUCCACAGCAGUAUAGAGGAUGACAACUUUGCCGUGGGCCUUAUUAAUGAGGUCGUGAAGGCUUUCCUGGCAGCUCCAGAAAGUCGUAUGCAGGACUGUGCUGCCUACGCCCUUCAAGAGCUGCUGAAGAUCUACCACAUCAGCAAGCCUUCAGAUGAUGACAAGACGUCCGGAAAGCUCUGGACCCGAUUCCCUGAACAUGUUCAACAAAUUCUGGUUCCUCUCUUGUCAUCAAAGUACAUAGUAAACAAAAAAUCAGAUUUCUCCCAACUGACCAAACCAAUCUACUGCAGCAAUGAAAAAACUCGCAAGUUUCAGGACUGGGCCAAUAUUUGGACCUCUUACCUCUCCUCAAAGGUAAAGAAUGAGAAGGCCCAUGAAGUGUUCCAAGCCUGUGGGGCACUGAUCAAGCAUGUGGUGAGCCUGGCCUUGUAUAUCCUGCCGUACGUCGUGCUGCAGGUCGUGGUGGGCGGGACACAGGAAGAAAUCGUAGAGAUCAGUGAAGAAAUUAAGGAAGUUUUGAACCAGACCAGGAAAACGGACAACAAGAAUCGACCUAUAUCUAACUCCCACCACCUCAGUGCUCAAACCGUCUUCUCUGUCCUGGAUUAUCUGGUCAAGUGGAAAAGAUUCCAGGCCCAGAAAGCACCAGUCAGCUACCCAGGGAAAGGUAAGCCUGGCUACCUGACAGAUCCCCAGUAUGUGGCAGUAACCGGCUUCCUUGAGAUGAUCCCCCAGAACCUGCUGGCCGACGCCUGCCAUGCCUGUAAGGCGUACACCCGCGCCCUGAUGCACCUGGAGCACUUCCUGACCAGCAAGGGGCAGAAUCUGCAGGACCACCUGGACUUUAUGCAGAAACUGUAUGGCGAUAUGGAUGAGCCGGAUGGGGUAUACGGAGUGGCAUCCAUCAGACAGGCUCAGCCCACUGUGAUGGAGGAAAUUCUGGCUCAUGAAAGUCUGGGUCACCAUCAUGAUUCUCAAGCAUGCUAUGAGAAGGCAAUUCAGAGUGAGGCUGAUGAUGUCACCUAUCACCAGGGACUCCUGAAAAGUCUGCUAGAAAUAGGCCAGGAAACCCAGGCCCUGCUGCAUGCAACAGGGGCCAUAUCUGAGAGACCUGACUGGAGCUCUCAGCUCAGCAGUUAUAUGGUGGAGGCUGCUUGGAAACUUGGAGACUGGCAAAAACUGGAGACAUUCCUUGAAUCUAAUAAGAGUACUCAGAGUUGGCCUGUUGGGAUAGGCAAGAUUCUGAUUGGUGCAAAGAAUAAGCGGGAGGAGCAGUUUGUGGAACAGCUGAGGGUGGUCAGGUGUGAACAGAUCGGACCGCUGUCAGCCGCCAGCAUGGAGAGUGGUUCCUAUCUUCGUGGAUACGAGUACAUUGUCCGACUUCAUAUGCUGAACGAGAUCGAGGAGAGCUGUCGGUGUUUACUGGGAAUAAGAAAUACGGAGAAUGAGUCGGAAAGAACGUCAACAGCGGAACAACUGCUGAGGCAGUGGGAAACAAGGUUCCAGACCGUGCAGUGCUCGUUCAGGACCCAGGAGCCCCUCCUAGCCCUCCGCCGGACUUUGUUUACCCUGGUCCAGAGACUGACCAACCUUGACCUUGAUCAGGAAAUAGGUCGAUGGUGGCUCUCCAGCGCCCGAAUUGCAAGAAAGGCUGGAUACCUACAGACCGCCUACAGCUUCCUCCUACAGGCCGCUGACUACAACCUGCCGGAGUUUGUCCUGGAGAAGGCCAAAUACCUCAGGGUCAAGGGUGAGCUUGACCAGGCCCUGAGGUAUUUAGAGAGAGGCAUGGAGUCUCGUUUUGGCAGCAUCGAGCAGCUGUUGGCAGACAAAUCAGAAAAUGCAAAAACUAAACGCAAAACCUACUCCCAGGCCCUGCUCUUACAGUCGCGCUUCAGUGAAGAGACUUCGUGUCUGGAGAGUAAUGAGAUUUUGAAACUUUAUCGUAAAGUGAUCAGUGUGAACCCCGACUGGGAGGAUGGCCACUUCUACAUCGGCAAAUACUACGACAAAAUCAUCACAACGCUGUUGGAGGACAAGCAUGAUAAAGAAAGAAUAAAUCCUGCCAAACAAUGGGAGGUUGUGACCUUUGUGGUGAAGCACUUUUGGCUGUCGUUGAAGUUCGGGAACCAGUAUAUCUACCAGUCUCUGCCACGCCUCCUCAGCCUCUGGCUUGACUACGGCGCCUCAGUCGUGGAGGCGGAGAGGAAGGAGAAGGCACGCCAACCUCCAGGGACGCCUCAGUCCAAGAACCUGACCAACAUGAAGAAGUCCCUGUCAGACCUAAACGAGAACAUCUCUAAGAUGGGCCGGACCCUGGCUCCCUAUCAGCUGUACACGGCUUUCUCUCAACUCAUCUCCAGAAUCUGUCAUGUGGAACCGGAGGUUUUCCAGAGACUCAAGGACCUGAUAGCAAACAUUUUUGUGUCGUUUAACCAGCAGUCUAUCUGGAUGAUGAUGGCCAUCUCCAAGUCAUCCUACCCAGUAAGGAAACAGAGGUGUCAGGAUAUCUUUGCCACUGUGAAAAUGAUUGAUCCUGAGCAGAACAAGUUUAUCCAUGACGCCACCAAGCUGACUGAGAGGCUUCUGGAGCUGUGUGAGAAGGACAUCAGGGGGACCAAUGUUCUGAGCAUCACCAACCACUUCAGGCCACUCAAACGGCUGCUGGAGGACAAGGACUUUGGGCCCAUCCUCCUGCCCCUACAGUCUGCGAUGAGGGUGACCCUCCCCAGCACCCCCGGUAGUCACGUGGACCACAACCCCUUUCCCACAGACCCCAUCUUCCUCCAAGGCUUUGAGGACGGGAUUGAGGUCCUGCCCUCCUUGCAGCGCCCUAAGAAGAUCACGAUGAACGGCAGCGACGGGAAGCUGUACACCAUGCUGUGUAAACCAAAGGAUGACUUGCGUAAGGAUUGUCGUUUGAUGGAAUUCAACGCUCUUGUCAACAAGUUCUUGAGCAAGGACCCUGAAGCACGGAAAAGGGAUCUGCACAUCAGAACCUACUCUGUUGUCCCAUUAAAUGAGUACUGCGGACUCUUAGAGUGGGUCAACAACACACAGGGACUACGCCACAUUCUGCUCAGGAUGUACAAGGAGCGAGGAAUCUACUUCAGCGGCAAGGAACUCCAGGCCAUGACCCCUAAACAGGAAAGUCCCCUGGAUUUCAAGAAGAGGGUGUUCAGAGAGAAGUUCCUGGCCAAGCACCCACCCGUCUUCAAGGAAUGGUUCCUGCAAACCUUCCCUGACCCCACCUCCUGGUACAAUGCUCGGCUUGCAUACGCCCGGACUUCUGCUGUCAUGUGUAUGGUGGGCUACAUCCUGGGUCUUGGUGAUCGUCACGGAGAAAACAUACUGUUUGAUUCCACCUGCGGAGACUGUAUCCAUGUAGAUUUUAACUGCCUAUUUAACAGGGGAGAGACAUUUGAUUGGCCAGAAAAGGUGCCAUUCCGUUUGACCCAGAACCUGGUGGAUGCUCUUGGACCUUUGGGAAUAGAGGGGAUUUUCCGAAGGUCGUGCGAGGUCACUCUGAGAGUAAUGCGAGAUCAGAUGGAUCCUCUCAUGAGUGUGCUACGAACCUUUAUCCAUGACCCAUUGGUGGAGUGGAGGAGAAAAUCCAAGACUCAGAAAAUGAAUCCGGCGGAUACAGAGUUAGCCCAGGGAGAGAUUCACAACGACCAGGCCCUGGUCCAUGUACAGAACAUUGAAUCUCGUCUGAAGGGGAUCAGGCGGGGCACGAUGCAGAAACCCAGAAGUGUGGCCCUCUCAGUGGAGGGGCAUGUCAAUUACCUGCUACAGGUAAAGUGAAAUGUCAAUUACCUGCUACAGGUAAAGUGAAAUGUCAAUUACCUGCUACAGGAGGCUACUAGCCUUGACAAUCUCUGUCAGAUGUACAUUGGAUGGGCAGCAUACUUGUAAACGUACAUCAAAUGGACAGCAUUCCCAGUAUAUGUACUUGUAAAUGUAAAUGGAAUGAGCAGCACACUUGUAAAAGUACGUUGGAUAUGCAGCAACUUGUAAACACAAUGAAUUGUCUAGUAAACCUCUAGAAAACAGGGAACCAUUGUUGUGCCUUAUAAUAUGUUGAUCUUUUUUUUGGGGUGCAGAUAACGCCAAAAAGUAUAUAGACUUAUUGUAUGUAACCAUCAGAUAUAUGUGGUACAUGUAUAUGGAGAGAAUGAAAUGGAAUAUUCAUUGAUUUGUUGUUUUGUUAACUUGAUAAAACAUAAUGUUAUUUUUUUUAAUUGUUAUACAUUUUGUUUGUAACUACAAUUUUUUUUACAUAAAAAAUAAAUCAUGAAAGAUGGAA